rnacentral:piRNA from 1 species
UAGAAGUCAAGAUUGGUGCCACUAAGUGG